UGCCCCAGUAACGGCGAGUGAAGCGGCAACAGCUCAAAUUUGAAAUCUGGCUUCGGCCCGAGUUGUAAUUUGUAGAGGAUGCUUUUGGUGAGGUGCCUUCUGAGUUCCCUGGAACGGGACGCCAGAGAGGGUGAGAGCCCCGUAUAGUCGGCCACCGAUCCUCUGUAAAGCUCCUUCGACGAGUCGAGUAGUUUGGGAAUGCUGCUCAAAAUGGGAGGUAUAUCUCUUCUAAAGCUAAAUAUUGGCCAGAGACCGAUAGCGCACAAGUAGAGUGAUCGAAAGAUGAAAAGCACUUUGAAAAGAGGGUUAAAUAGCACGUGAAAUUGUUGAAAGGGAAGCGCUUGUGACCAGACUUGUGCCGGGCUGAUCAUCCAGUGUUCUCACUGGUGCACUCGACCCGGCUCAGGCCAGCGUCGGUUCUCGCGGGGGGAUAAAAGCUUCGGGAACGUGGCACCUCCGGGUGUGUUAUAGCCCGCUGCUUAAUACCUUCGCGGGGACCGAGGUUCGCGCUCUGCAAGGACGCUGGCAUAAUGGUCAUCAGCGA
rnacentral:rRNA from 1 species